CGGAGGCAUUGGAGGGGAAAAAACGUGGCAUAAUGGCGCCCUAUCAACCACAGCUUCCUCGUUAUUCACCAGCAUAAUGAGAAAUGUAAUCAGUUGUAUUUAGGCUGCUUUACCUAAACGACGUGCGCGAUAUAAUCAUGGCAUUCAAGCAAAUCAGCUAUUUUUUUCUGAAUAUCGCUCUCUUAGCCAUCAUCGCAGGUUUCGCGAUGGGAAAUCCGUUGCUGGGUUUAUCCAAAAGCGAAUCACUGAACGAAAUAGGUGACACAACCGAUUACGUACGAGAGGUGCGUUUCUUCAAACACAUUCGGAAUUUUUUGUCAGGAUUUUUUGGUUAAUUGUUUACUGGACGAGCCGAUCUCAUUUCCAACGAAUUUCUAAAUACCAAAGCAAGAGUCUUGACAAAUCCAAUAGAUGUUAUCGAAGGCGACGAAUCGUUCUUAAGUGAAAGUGGUAACCCAUCCAUGGAUCUUAACGAUUUAGUGGAACGUCAAUGGUGGGGAAAAUUGUUUAACCACGGCAAGAAAUUUUUAUCCAAAUUUUCGGUUACUUAUAACGGCUCUCCAUGAUUUACUGAAGCUUCCACCACAUUUAUUAUUAUUUUUGCUUCAUGUUCACUUAUCAGCAUAGCAAUACAACAAGCAUAAAAUAA